GUUAGCCCAACACCCCUCUAUCCCUUUGUGCGUAUCCCGUAUCAGCAACAGAAGUCGGAAUCCCUCAUCUUUCUUCCUCACGUUCUUAAUCAGAUUCUACACAAAAAAAAUCGAGGUCUAUAUUUUUCAAACGAUCCCAGGAAACGACGAUGAAAAUGAAGGUUGUAUGGAGGCUCAAAGGUCGGUCGUCGUGCGUGGUGGUGUUGGGACGAAGCCAGUAAGUUGUGGAUGAUUGUGUGGUGUGUGGAAGCUGGAAUCAGGAAAGGGUGAAAGAGGAUGAAUGGUGAGGUGUAUGGUGAUAUAAGGUGGUUCGGUGGUGGCUGUUUGUGUGGGUGAUUUGGCGGAUAACGGAGGCUGUAACGGAGGGUGAAGUGGGGUUUAGGUGGAGGUCAAAAGGAUUGAGGGUAAAGGAGGUUCAAGGGUGGAAUAAGGUUGUCACGGUGGUGGCUGAUGAAUGGAGGAGGGUGGUACUUGGUGGUGUUGUGCAGGUAAAUAGCAGGGGACGAUAGUGGGGGGUUGGUGAUUGUGUAAGCUGUGAAGGGAGUAAUAAGGGUGGUGAAAUGGAGUUGGGUCUCGUGGGUAUGGAAGACGUUUAAUGGUCGAGUUUUUGAUGAUGAUGAAUGGAGGAAUAAGGUGAAGGAGAUGGAGGAAAGAGGUGGUUUUUUUUUGAGUUACGGGUGGAGAAGGGCUAAGGCGAAGAUGGUCGGUGAUGAAAAGGUUCCAUUGUUUUUUUUAUUUCGAGAAAAAUCUUCAAACAGAGCAAAUCAACGAAUGACUUUUGUAUUUUUGAAAUCCAUGAAUCAUGUAAUUAGAAAUCUCCAAUUUUCUUUGUCAUAGAGUUGUGUGUUGUAUAUAACUUUGGUCUUUGUAGUUGAGUUGUGUGUUAACCCGAACAAAAACCAAAAUUCGUUACUGAA